CUCUCCUGCGUCAGUGACUCACGAAACGCCACAGAGGGAACGACAGCCUCCUGACAUGACAGCUCUUCUUGAGAGAGAAUCAUGUCAGCCCACAGACAACCUGUUGACCUGUGAGUCUUCAAGCAGUAAUGAUGACUACGCCUGCCUUAAGUUCCAGUUUCCUGGACAUGUCGGCAUGAGAUUCUGUCCCCACCUGUCUUCAGUCUGGACCCAAUGACUCGGACACCAGUCUUGUCGAGGCUAAAUUGAGAUCAAGCAUUGACGGGAAAACACCCAAAGUCCAUCACUCAUGCACCGAGGAUCUGGCUGAUUACUGGAAAUUUGGAAGAUUGUUCUUUAUUUGCACUGUCACUUCUGGUAAAUAUUUAUGGACCUUUUGCAGAAUGUUUUGCUUUGACUUAUCAACUGAUGGUGAAUAAUUGGUUGAUUUUGAAAAUGUACAUUAAAUAAAAUGUUUUAAAAUCAA